ACAAAACAAUUUAAAACCCAAUCUCUCUCCCCCUCUCUCUCCCCCUGUGUCUCUCUUUCUCUUCUUCUUCUCCCUCCUUCUUUCCCAAGCUUUCGAUCUCCAGACGACAAUCGCCCUCCACCCUGCCUUCCACCGCGAUCUCCCAGCCAUCGUCGCGCAGCACAGCUGUGCCGUCUCCCGCCGAACCGGUUCACCCUUGAGGAACCGCCUCGCCCCUGCUUCGCCCUUGCCAUCAACCGAACCACCUCCAGCCGCCAGUGUCGCCGUCCCGACCGCCGCCCUUGCUUCUUCCUCAGCUGUCCGCCCGCGCCCAGCAUCAGUCCACACCGCGCCGCAGUCCUCCCCGAAAAUCCCAGAUUUUCACCUCCUUUGAGAACACAUGAGACAUUUCUAGCCUUGUCUUAGUGUGGUGCACGACAAAAGCCAAAUCCAAAGGAAUUGGCAAGUAAAACAAAAGCUCGCAAUUACUCCACCCUUUACGGACUCCAGGGAAGUUUCUCUCUUGUUUUACUUCUUUUUACAUUGAGGACAAUGUAUGCAUUAGGUGUGGGGAGAGAGUUAUGCAAAUUUUUGGGCAAAUUUUUUCAUUUUGUGCUACUUUUAUGCCGAAUUUGCUAUUCUUUCGCAUAUUUUUUAGAUUAGUCUGAAGUGAGUCAUCGGUGGUUUGUGUGAUAGGUUUGUCUAGCAUGACUAAUGACAUUUGAUUGGUGAUAUGUUGAGUCAAAUUGACGUUUGAACCUUGUGAGAUUUGAGCCUUUGUUCCAAAAGUUACAUUAGAAAAUAAACAUAAUAUUCAAACUUUUGGAAAUUCUUUCUUGUGAGAAAUCUAGUGCUCAAUUAGAUCACCUAGAACUUGAGUGAUUAUGCAUGUUGAACUUGAAACUAUCGAAUCUUGCGUUUUGAAAAUAAUAAGGGCAUUAGGUAACAUCAUUAAGCCUUUCUUUAUUACCCAACACAAUAUAUUCCCCUAGUUAGCCCAUUUGAGUCUUCUUAGCCUAUUUUUUCUUUUAUAAUAAACUGUCUUUUAGCCUCAUACCCUUCUUUUGAUUAAACUUUCUCCGAUUUGAACCCUAUGUUAAAAAGAAUUACUUUAAGUCUAUGUUGUGAUGCACUUUAUUUCUUCGGCACUAGUUAGAAACGAAAUUUGGGUACGGAUAAGUCAUGGUAUGCAGAAAUAAUUAUAGGCAGUGAAAUUUAUAUAAAGGCAAAAGCCCAAAAAAAAAUAAAAAAGAUCAAAAAAAAUACAAAAAACAAAGAAAAGAAAAAAAAAAAGCAAGCAAAAGAAAAAAAAAAAAUAAUAAAUAAUAAAAUAAUCAUCUUGAUGAAGUAUUUUUAUUUAAUUUCUUUAUUAAAGUUUGGGUAGUGAAUGAAGUAAGGAUUUCAUUGUUUAUGCCGAUUUGUUCUUCAUGUGCUAGCAUCAUGUUCAUUUUUGACAUACCAUAGCCUUUGUAUAUCCUUUUUCCUUCCCCUGACCAUAAGUCCCGCUACAAUCCCUUAUUGAAAGUCCAUUCGAUUCUUUUAGAUUCAAAUAUUCUAAGCAAGGGAGAUUUGAUUUUUACUCAAGCCCAUAGGAUAAUCUUUUGUUGCACUACCCGAGUGUUGAACCAAUUGUAUACUUAUUCCUUCAGAGAGUAUGUGCGUAUACACUUUAUCUUGUGAGGUUGACUUGGCUUGACGUGUUGAAUUUAGGAUUGAAUUGGUUGUGCUGAAUUCUCUUGUCAUAUUGAAUCGCCUGUGAUUUCUUUGGCUUAUUUCGAAUUUAUGCUUGAGGGCAAGCAUGAUCUAGGUGUUGGGAGAUUUGAUAUUUAUAAAUCGCAUACGUUAAAUGUUCAUGUUAUAUGUGAUAUUCGAUUGAUUUUAAUUGGAUUCUGCCUAAUUUCAGUGCGUAUUAUUUACUUUCGACAUGCAGGAGAGAAAAACAAAUUUGGCGUGAUUUGAAAGAAAAAGUGAAGAAAAUUUCAGAUUUGCACCCCCGAGUUAGUUAUGGCCAUGACUAACUCCACCCUCUUGACAUGGAAAUUUAAUUAAAGGGCCAAAAGUCCAACUGCUAAAAUAAAAGUAGGGUAAAAUUAAAAGAAUACACACAGAGGACGGCGAGAAGAAGAUACGAACAGGAGCAUGAGACUGACAUACUCAUAGAUCGCAUAGGAGCAAAUCGACAGAGAAGAUUUCCUCUCCCACUAUGACUUUAUAUUUCUCUAUUGUUCUUUGUUAUUUGAUUAUGGAAUAGAUAUUUUUCUGAGUUGAGGGAUGAUAAUGUUUUGGUUCUUGUCUUUUGGAGAUUCUUGAUUUUCUUUAUAAAAGUUCUUUUUAUUAUCAA